AAAGGACUGCAGAAGAGCCCUUUCUGGGGCUGCAGGAAUCAGGGUCUUUGUACUGAAGGAACUUCAUCUUGGCCCCCUUGUACACUGCUUUGCAGUAUCUUUUGUGACCCAAGUGCAGGCCCACCAGGACCCCCUGCCUACCUGAUGGCUGACACAGAGGCCAAGCGGAGGGAGUUGAGCUCCAAGAAGAAGAGGCUGCCGAGGUGCAACAACUCUUUGGUGACCUUUGCGGAUGUAGCAGUAUAUUUCACCGAGGAGGAAUGGAAACUGUUGACAAAGAAGCAGAAACUUACAUACAGUUCUGUGAUGAUGGAGAAUUAUGAAAAUGUGGCCUUUGUGGGUAAGGAACCUGAAUCCAUUGCCCUUGCUGUGAAGACCGAGGGCCCUUUCAUCAUUCACUGUCAGAGUGCUUUGUUUCCACUUUAGAAUUAUAGAAUCAAAGCAACUUCCUGACAGUAAGGGCUGUUUGAUAGUGGAACACAUUCUUUCCUCGGAGUGUAGUGGAGUCUCCCUCCUUGGAGGUCUUUAA